AGGGGGCUGAAGUUAGCCGCGUAGCAGCAGUUCGCGCAGUGUGUGGCUGGCACUGGGCAGCGGGCUGGGGAGGCGGCAGCGCUCUGCCCCACCAGCCCCGGCUCUGGGUCGCCGCCCGCCAGCAGCGUGGAGGAGAGGACCUGGGCCAGGGUCGCUCCAGUCUCCCAGGCGCCCGGGUGCCGGGUCCGCCUAUCCCCAGCUCGCCCCUUCUCCAGGCACUAGGCAGCCCUGGGGCAGGAGCAGCCUCCCUUCAGCCGCGCCAGGCGCCCUGGGGCAGGCUCUCCCCGGCAGCGCGGGCCACUAGCGCUCCGGAGCAGGGUCCCCCGCAGCCCUCCACCGCGGACCGACCGCCCCCUGCUGCCAGGCGCCGAGAGAGAGAGGAGCCGGGCCUCGCCCUCCCCGCGGGCGCUGCAGGCAGAGGCUCAGGCGGCCGGUCCCAGCGGCAGAUUAAGGAGAUUAACUUGAGUAUGGCAGCUAUACAAUUCAGAAAUUGCCACACGGGGAACUGAAUUCUGUGGAACAGAC
ensembl:lncRNA